UACCUUGAUAGCAAGUUCCACAAGGAACACUUCAAAUAUGUAGGCACCAGCUUCCCAAGCAGACUGCUGACUUCCUGCAGGAAUAUGUCACCAACAAGACCAAGAAGACAGAGGAGCUCCGAAAAACUGUGGAGGACCUUGAUGGUCUGAUCCAACAAAUCUACAGAGACCAAGAUCUGACCCAAGAAAUUGCUAUGGAGCAUUUUGUAAAGAAGGUGGAGGCAGCCAUUGUGCAG